CUGGGGCAGGAGUGUCCUUGCUGUCCUGUGCCCUCCUGGCUUCUGCCUGUCCCGGGGGGAGCGCCGGAUCCUGGGCUGUGUCCCCGACGCCCUGUGCUCCUGGACCUGCGCUGUUGGA
rnacentral:miRNA from 1 species